rnacentral:rRNA from 1 species
UGGGGAAUAUUGCGCAAUGGGCGAAAGCCUGACGCAGCGACGCCGCGUGGGGGAUGACGGCCUUCGGGUUGUAAACCUCUUUCAGUAGGGACGAAGCGGAAGUGACGGUACCUACAGAAGAAGCACCGGCCAACUACGUGCCAGCAGCCGCGGUAAUACGUAGGGUGCAAGCGUUGUCCGGAAUUAUUGGGCGUAAAGAGCUCGUAGGCGGUCUGUCGCGUCGGCUGUGAAAACCCGGAGCUCAACUCCGGGCCUGCAGUCGAUACGGGCAAACUGGAGUGUUGCAGGGGAGACUGGAAUUCCUGGUGUAGCGGUGAAAUGCGCAGAUAUCAGGAGGAACACCGGUGGCGAAGGCGGGUCUCUGGGCAACAACUGACGCUGAGGAGCGAAAGCGUGGGGAGCGAACA